CACGUAGGGGGCAAGCGUUGUCCGGAUUUAUUGGGCGUAAAGAGCUCGUAGGCGGUUCGGUACGUCGGGUGUGAAACCUCCAGGCUCAACCUGGAGACGCCACCUGAUACUGCUGUGACUCGAGUCCGGUAGGGGAGCGUGGAAUUCCUGGUGUAGCGGUGAAAUGCGCAGAUAUCAGGAGGAACACCAGCGGCGAAGGCGGCGCUCUGGGCCGGAACUGACGCUGAGGAGCGAAAGCGUGGGUAGCAAACAGG
rnacentral:rRNA from 1 species